rnacentral:misc_RNA from 1 species
GAUGAAGAACUCAGCGAAAUGCGAUAAGUAAUGUGAAUUGCAGAAUUCAGUGAAUCAUCGAAUCUUUGAACGCACCUUGCGCUCUUUGGUAUUCCGAAGAGCAUGCCUGUUUGAGUGUCAUGAAAAUAUCAACCUUGACUUGGGUUUUGUGCUCUAGUCUCGGCUUGGAAUUGGGUGCUUGCCGCUUUUACGAGCGGCUCACCUUAAAUGUAUUAGCUGGAUCUGUCUUUGAGACUUGGUUUGACUUGGCGUAAUAAGUAUUUCGCUAAGGACAUUCUUCGGAGUGGCCUCGUUUCUAGGACGCUUGUCCGCUUUCCAAUACAAGUUCCACCUCGUGGACAUGACUUUUUAUUAUCUGGCCUCAAAUCAGGUAGGACUACCCGCUGAACUUAAGCAUAUCAAUAAGCGGAGGA